CUGGGUUUCUUGGGUUUCUCCACAUGGCUGUGGAUGACAGGAUUUCCCAAAGCUUUAUGGCUGAAGCAUAUUCCAUAGUGUAUCUGUAUGGUGGUUUCUUUAUCCCUUCAGCUGUGGGUGGACAGGACAGGUCAUUUACCAUGAUGUCCUCUAGGUUCAACAGUGUGGCUGCAAAUGAUGUAAUUUCAUUACAUUUUUCUGGAUGAAGAGUAUUCCAUUUGUGUAUAUAUACUACAGUUUCUUUAUCCCUUCAUCUGCGGAUGAACAGGUUUCUCCACAUGGCUGCAAAUGACAGGAUUUCAUCCACUUCUGUCGUGGAAGGGUAUUCCAUUCUGGAUAUAUAUUUCAGUUUUGUCAUCCCUUCAUCAAGGGAUGAACAGGUUCAACUGUGUGGCUCCAGGUGAUAUGAUUUCAGUAUAUGUGCACAGCUGAA
rnacentral:lncRNA from 1 species